AUGAGUUUUGACUCCCUAGGGAAGCCUACGAUUUCUAUAAGUUGUAUAAGAUAUGGCAACUGUUGUCUGAAUGUCGAGCGGACAAAUUGUAUGCAGGAGAUCGUCUAUGGAUCCUCGGGAAAUCCUGAGCAGCAGAAUAGCUGGUCUUGCCGGUGCGAGUGCCCUUCAAUGAUCAGACUUCUUAGAGCUGCUCACAAUGGAUGGUUGAUAGCUGAACACCGGUCAAGCCACAACCAUUCAAUGUCCCUUACUUGCGGUGAAAAGGUUCAUUGGCCGUCCUACAAGCACAUAGAUAUGUAG
rnacentral:rRNA from 1 species